rnacentral:rRNA from 1 species
AAGUGGUUGAUGCCAUGCUUCCAGGAAAAGUCUCUAAGCUUCAGUUACACAGGAAUCGUACCCGAAACCGACACAGGUGGUCAGGUCGAGUAGACCAAGGCGCUUGAGAGAACUCUGCUGAAGGAACUAGGCAAAAUGGUACCGUAACUUCGGGAGAAGGUACGCUGUUGUUGGUGAUGGAACUCGCUUCCUGAGCUGACGACAGCCGCAGAAACCAGGCCGCUGCAACUGUUUAUUAAAAACAUAGCACUCUGCAAACACGAAAGUGGACGUAUAGGGUGUGAUGCCUGCCCGGUGCUGGAAGGUUAAUUGAUGGGGUUAGCGUAAGCGAAGCUCUUGAUCGAAGCCCCAGUAAACGGCGGCCGUAACUAUAACGGUCCUAAGGUAGCGAAAUUCCUUGUCGGGUAAGUUCCGACCUGCACGAAUGGCAUAAUGAUGGCGGCGCUGUCUCCAGCAGAGGCUCAGUGAAAUCGAAAUCGCUGUGAAGAUGCAGUGUACCCGCGGCUAGACGGAAAGACCCCGUGAACCUUUACUGCAGCUUGACACUGAACUUUGACCUUACUUGUGUAGGAUAGGUGGGAGGCUUUGAAGCUGGAACGCUAGUUCCAGUGGAGCCGUCCUUGAAAUACCACCCUGGUAAUGUUGAGGUUCUAACUCUGUCCCGUGAUCCGGGACGAGGACCGUGUCUGGUGGGUAGUUUGACUGGGGCGGUCUCCUCCUAAAGAGUAACGGAGGAGUACGAAGGUGCGCUCAGCGUGGUCGGAAAUCACGCGUAGAGUAUAAAGGCAAAAGCGCGCUUAACUGCGAGACCCACAAGUCGAGCAGGUACGAAAGUAGGUCUUAGUGAUCCGGUGGUUCUGUAUGGAAGGGCCAUCGCUCAACGGAUAAAAGGUACUCUGGGGAUAACAGGCUGAUACCGCCCAAGAGUUCAUAUCGACGGCGGUGUUUGGCACCUCGAUGUCGGCUCAUCUCAUCCUGGGGCUGAAGCAGGUCCCAAGGGUAUGGCUGUUCGCCAUUUAAAGAGGUACGCGAGCUGGGUUUAGAACGUCGUGAGACAGUUCGGUCCCUAUCUACCGUGGGCGCUGGAAAUUUGAGAGGAUCUGCUCCUAGUACGAGAGGACCAGAGUGGACGAACCUCUGGUGUACCGGUUGUGACGCCAGUCGCAUCGCCGGGUAGCUAUGUUCGGAAGGGAUAACCGCUGAAAGCAUCUAAGCGGGAAGCCUACCUCAAGAUAAGAUUUCCCUAGGACUUUAUGUCCUCUAAAGAGCCGUUCGAGACUAGGACGUUGAUAGGUUGGAUGUGGAAGCAUAGUGAUAUGUGAAGCUGACCAAUACUAAUUGCUCGUGAGGCUUGACUAU